rnacentral:lncRNA from 1 species
GUUUCAAAUUAGUUCAACCAUUGUGGAAGACAGUGUGGCGAUUCCUCAAGGAACUAGAACUAGAAAUACCAUUUGACCCAGUAAUCCCAUUAUUGGGUAUAUAUUCAAAGGAUUAUAAAUCAUUCUACUAUAAAGACACAUGCACACAUGUUUAUUGCAGCACUAUUCACAAUAACAAAGACUUGGAACCAACCCAAAUGCCCAUCAAUGAUAGACUGGAUGAAGAAAAUGUGGCACAUAUACACCAUGGAAUACUAUGCAGCCAUAAAAAAGGAUGAGUUCAUGUCCUUUGUAGGGACAUGGAUGAAGCUGGAAACCAUCAUUCUCAGCAAACUAACACAGGAACAGAAAACCAAACACCACAUGUUCUCACUCAUAAGUGGGAGCUAAACAAUGAGAACACAUGGACACAGGGAAAGGAACAUCACACACUGGGACCUGUCGGGGUGGGGCUAGGGGAGGGAUAGCAUUAGGAGAAAUACCUAAUGUAGAUGACGGGUUGAUGGGUGCAGCAAACCACCAUACCACGUGUAUACCUAUGUAACAAAACUGCACGUUCUGCGCAUGUAUCCCAGAACUUAAAGUAUAAUAAUAAUAAUAAUAAUAGUAAAUGUAUGUUUCUAUUAAUGACAAAAUCUUAUAUACUGGUAAUACUGCUGUGGUUGGUUUACUACAUUCAUAAUUUAAGGAAGUAUAAAUUUCAGCUGAACGUUACUGAAAAUUCAGGAGCAUUUUUUUUUCUAUUCAAGUGUAUGGUUCUCUGCUUCAGAAAGUAUUGGUUUUUGUUUUUAUUUUUAGAGUUCAUAGAUGUCUCAAGCUACUGCCACAUACUCUGCUAUUUUGGUUUUGUCCUUGUUAUACCACUCUGAGUUUUAUUCUAUCGAAUUGGUCCUAGUUUAUUUUAACUAUAAAAACUGAGUCGGCUGGGCGCGGGGGCUCACGCCUGUAAUCUUAGCACUUUGGGAGGCCGAGGAAGGCGGAUCACGAGGUCAGGAGUUCG